UCUAGCCUGCAUCGUCGAGCGGCAGCAACAACAAUAACACAGCCACCGCGACGAGACCUCCUUAUGAACCACAUGGCACACACAGCCAACAGCAAUAAUUACCCACUUGCCUGCACUUGAUAUUAAAAUCAGACAAAAGCUCUGCAAACACGUUCCGGAGCAAUUCGACGGCGGUUGCAGGAAGAUUGCCGAUCCUGGCCCAGUCAUCUGGUAACCACUUGUCGCUUUUUAUUAUCUAGUCGCCUGUCAAAAACUCGUGCUAUGUGCCAUAAGAUAUGCUAUUUUAUAUCCAGCAGCCCAUCGGGCUACAAAUGGCACAACAAAUUCGUGCAGAGCUACCACACCGUGGCAAACCAAACCAGACUACCGCCUCGUUGAUCGGCUUUGGGAUUGGGAUCGGGAUCGGGAUCGGGCGAUGGCCAUGACGGCGACGAUGAUGGUCCUAUCAGCAUGGAAAACUAUCGGGACUUUUAAUGAGGCUCCUUAUGAUUUCUUAAAAUCUAUUCAAGAGGACAACUAACAAAUUACAGGGAACUUUAUCGCAGUCUUUGAAGAAGUGGGAGAUGAAAGCGGGCAGAUAGGAAACCAGAUCUGAUUUAGGCGAUGCUGGUCUACAUGAACAUGAAAUAAUUAGAAUGGUAUGAUAUGGUAAUAAUUGUUAAUUAUUUACUUUAAGAAUUUUACAUUUUCCAUUUUAACAUUUUUAAUGUUUUUAUUUGGCUUAUUUCUUUGUAACCCCUCCUAUAUUUGUUGAUUGUAACAUAUUCCAAAAUAUUAAUAAGCAGUUAUCCAGUAUACAUAAUAAUAAUAAACCAAGAUUAUUACACAAAAUGGGUUGAUUAGGCCAGGGACUUGUCUUUCAAACUGUAAACUGCCGGUUGGCUCGAAUAUGCGAAAUUAACAAGACACAAUUACAAGACAUCCAACGCAACAGACAACACGCCUAGCCAUCAAGUGUUUUCCCGACAUAUAACCACAGUACGCGCCUCCAACACCUCCCCCACCCAAUUUCCAAAGGCCCCCGCGCCCACUGUUAUCGUUUAGUCUAUGAUUUUAUUUUUAUUACGCCGCACCGCCUGGCCUCAAAGCCUUGCACACUGAUUUUGAUAUAGCACAUUUUAUAUACAUUUGAAAAUUUAUAACACACUAUAAUACACUUUUACCUUUACCUGAGUCAUGGAAUAAAUUUGAUAUUAAUAUUACAUACUUCUUAAAUAUUUUAUAACUUAUUAAAAAUAAGGACAAAUUAGUGAGAUAUUUGUAGAAUUUUCUUCCUUACUUUCAAGUGUUCUGUUCUUUUCUUUCUUAAUAACUAGUAUUGUAAAAAUAUUAAUUUAUUAAUCAUUAUGAUUCCAAUUUUUUAUCUGAGCCCAAUGUGCAUUGACUCAAAUCCCGCAGACGCAACAGCAGAUGCAGCAGGCUGCAUUCGGCAUUCGGCACCCAAACUCUUCGCCAAACGUUCGCACAGAAAUUUGCGAGAUUUUUAUCCGGCGGGAGAGGUUGGCCAAGUUGGAACGAAACGGGCGUAGAGCGCAGCCUAGUCAAACAUCGUUGUUGUCGUCGUCCGAGGUGAAAACUCGCACCGCGAGUGCAU